rnacentral:lncRNA from 1 species
CCUCCUAUCGCGAUCGACUUUACUCCGAGCUUCUUUCGAACUUCGUCAAUGUCCGGGCUUCCCCAGCAAUAGGACUUCUACAGUAACCAGACUCCAUCCAAAUUUCUACAGUGAUCGACCGCCUUCCGAAUUUCAUCCGAGCUUCUACAGUAAGCAAAUUCCGUCCGAACUUCUACAAUAAGCAGUCUCCAUUCGGACUUCCACGGCAACCGAUCUUCGUCCAAGUUUCUACAAUAAGCGAUCUCCAUCCGGACU